GAGUCUGAGUAAAGGGAGAGAAGGUUGGCACUUCCCUUGAUAAGAAUGGAAGAGGUCCUCCAGCCUGACCACACACAUACAUAGGUGGCUUAAGGCAUGGCCACCUAGCUAUAGUUUCUU